UACGGAGGGUGCGAGCGUUGUCCGGAAUCAUUGGGCGUAAAGGGCGCGUAGGUGGCCCGGUCAGUCUUUGGUGAAAGCGCGGGGCUCAACCCUGCGUCGGCCAGGGAUACUGCCGCGGCUCGAGCACUGUAGAGGCAGGGCGGAAUUCCGGGUGGUAGCGGUGGAAUGCGUAGAGAUCCGGAAGAACACCAAUGGCGAAGGCAGCUCUCUGGGACGGUACUGGACGCUGAGGAGCGAAAGCGUGGGGAGCGAACGAGG
rnacentral:rRNA from 1 species